UCCGGAAUGGUGUAGUGGCUAGCAUUUCUGCCUCUCAAGAUCUGCCUAAUCAGCAGUGAAAGAUGUUCGCAGGAGACCGGGGUUCAAUUCCCCGUUCCGGAA
rnacentral:tRNA from 1 species